rnacentral:rRNA from 1 species
UCCUACGGGACGCAGCAGUGAGGAAUAUUGGUCAAUGGACGAGAGUCUGAACUAGCCAAGUAGCGUGAAGGAUGACUGCCCUAUGGGUUGUAAACUUCUUUUAUAUGGGAAUAAAAUGUUCCACGUGUGGGGUUUUGUAUGUACCAUAUGAAUAAGGAUCGGCUAACUCCGUGCCAGCAGCCGCGGUAAUACGGAGGAUCCGAGCGUUAUCCGGAUUUAUUGGGUUUAAAGGGAGCGUAGGUGGAUGGUUAAGUCAGUGGUGAAAUUUUGCGGCUCAACCGUAA